CCUACGGGAGGCAGCAGUGGGGAAUAUUGGGCAAUGGAGGAAACUCUGACCCAGCCAUGCCGCGUGAAUGAUGAAGGUCUUCGGAUUGUAAAGUUCUUUUCUAAGGGACGAAGAGAGUGACGGUACCUUAGGAAUAAGCCUCGGCUAACUGCGUGCCAGCAGCCGCGGUAAUACGUAGGAGGCAAGCGUUAUCCGGAAUGACUGGGCGUAAAGGGUGCGUAGGUGGUUUGAUAAGUUGGUAGCGUAACUCCGAGGCUCAACCUCGGCACUACUACCAAUACUGUCGGACUUGAGUGCAGGAGGGGCAACUGGAAUUCCUGGUGUAGCGGUGGAAUGCGUAGAGAUUAGGAGGAACACCAGUGGCGAAGGCGAGUUGCUGGACUGUAACUGACACUGAGGUACGAAAGCGUGGGGAGCAAACAGGAUUAGAUACCCGAGUAGUC
rnacentral:rRNA from 1 species